ACCGCGCAAAAGGCCAAAGGCAAACCACGCGCUCACCUGGCUGCCUCCCCCUCUCCUCUCCCGACGCUCCCAUGCCGCCGCCGCCGCCGCCGAGCGUGCGGGGCUUCCUGGACGCGCACUUCGCCUCCCCCGACGACCUCGCGGCGGCGCCCGCGCUCGCGGAGCUCUUGCGCCGCGAGUGCGACGGGCUCGACGCCUCGCUCCGCCGCGCCGAGGCGCGGCUCGGUGCCGCGGCCGCGUCCUGGCUCGCGCGCUACUCUGAGGCCCGCGCAAACCUCCUCCGCGUCCGGUCACGAGGGGGACGCCUCGUUGCGGAGGACGACGGCGCCGAGGCGGUGAGGACGGUGGGCCUGCCGGCGCUCGUGCGGGAGAUCCAACGGAUCGACACCAUCCGGCUCUACGCGGGUCAGCAUCUUUUCCUCCCAUUCAUAUGAACGUGGCAUGGGCAAUUACAACGUGACUGCUGGAAUCUUUGGUUGGCAACCUGGAAGAUGCUGCAUUUUCCAUUGUUAGGCAGGCCCCAAAGUCAAAACUGUCAUCCAUACUUCGAAAAUCGAAUGAAACUGAAUGGAAGCAAGGGAAGCUGCUCCAUGCUGUUGACGCUGUGAAGGAUAUUGAGCGAGAAUUAGUACGGAUCAGCACUAGUAGGCCACAGUGGGCCAACCUUGUCAUGGCUGUUGAUUCUAGAGUGGACAAAACUCUUUCCAUUCUGAGGCCUCAAGCACUCACGGAUUAUCGGGCUCUACUAGCAUCACUGGGAUGGCCACCUUCAUUGUCUUCACCAGACACAGAGAAGGAUAAGUACCCCCAAAUUCCGAAUCCUCUAGUCUUGAUGAAUGAGGGAAAUAAAGCGAGAUACUCUCAAAGCUUCCAAGCACUGUGUGCUCUCCAACAUGUGCAGGGGAACCGUGAAUCACGCCUGUGUCAGACAGCAAAAGUGACUCCUGCCCUGGCAGAUUUGAAGUAUUUCACUAGGACCGCUUGCUUCGACAAUGGGCUUUGGGCGAUUGAUGAAUUAGUUCACCCUAUUGCUUCAAGGAUGGAAUAUCAUUUUGUCAAAUGGUCUGAACAGCCGGAGUUCAUUUUCACCCUUGUUUACAAGAUAACAAAAGAUUUUAUGGAUGGAGUGGAUGAUGUACUGCAGCCUUUGAUUGAUCAAGCAAGGCUAGUAGGAUUAAGUGCCAAGGAAUCUUGGGUAACUGGAAUGGUGAAAAUUCUUGUAGGAUACCUUGAGCGGCAAAUUUUCCCGGCACUUGUCUGCUCUUAUCAGGAUCAUGCUACUGUUGGAAAACCUGAAGUAGAUUCCUCUUGGUUGCACUUAAAUGACGUAAUGAUUUCUUUUGAUAAAAGAAUGCAGCUUCUAGCGGAUUCAGGAAUCCAGAAAAUGACAUCACUUUCUGAAGGUCUGUCUAGGUCCUUGUCUGUCUUUUCAAUAUAUGCUGAGCACCCUGACUGGCUUCAGAUAUGGGCUGAUGUUGAGCUUUGUUCAGCACAGGAUAAGCUGAAAUCUGAAAUGGAAGAUGAGACAAGUUGGUCAUGUAGUGGUCAGCAUGACCAGCGUGGUCACAUGGAAAAUUCAACGAAGUUUCUUCUCUCUACAAGAGAAGACUACAAAGCUCCUCCGGUGUGUGAAUUUGUUACCAAAACUGCUUUGUCAAUGGUUGAAAGAGGCCGUGUUCUGCCAAACAGGGGAAUGCAGAUCCAGUAUAACAGAUCCUCUUCGGUUAGGUUCCUGAAUGGCUUUUUUCUUGUAUUGCGCGAACGAUGUGAAGCAUUGCAAUUGUCGAACACGGCACUAGAGGAUCAUUCUUUGUCAAAAACUUCGUGUGCAAUUAACGCCGCUCGUUACUGUGAAAACGUGCUUCGGGAAUGGGAUGAAGAUACUACCUUCUUGGAUAUGGGUCCUCAAGGAUCUCUGUAUACAGAUGAAAUCGGCUUUUUAGUCAAAUUAGGGACCGAUCACCUGGAACAGAUACUGUCUUGGGUUCUGCUUGAGUUUGAAGAUCUGUCCUGGGAAUAUGUUCAGAGCAUUGGAUCAUGGAGUGGACAGACCAUCUUAGAUGAUGAGAUCCUGGAUGAAGAAAACACAGGAGUGUCUCCUGGUUUUGUUCCCAGUCUAGAUGUUCUGAUGGACAGGACCGCUAAGUUGAAACGAUAUCUUAACUCCAAGGAUUUCCUUGAUCUGUGGAGGAGUAUAGCGGAAGGCCUUGACUACUACAUCUACAGCAGCAUACGAUGGGCCGAAGUAAGUUUCUCUGAUCCUGGAAUCACCCAGCUAAGAGUUGAUAUAAAAGCACUUCUCCACAUCUUUAGGCCCUUCUGUUCAAGACCUGAAGCUUUUCUCCCUUUUCUAAGUGAAUCCCUGAGGUUGUUAACCAUGAAAAAAUCAGAUGCACAGUGCUUGCUGGAAACACUAAUGGAUGACACGAAGAGUGACGAUUGCCUAAAGCGUGAAGGAUUGCACCAUGUAAAUGCUAGCCAGGCUGCAAAGAUCUUAAGCAGCAGGAAGUUUAGUGGGUAAUUUUGUUCGUACAAAGUGUAGCUGAGAAUGACCUUCAGCGAAGCUCGAUGUGGAGAUUAACAAUUCCAGGCCACAACAAAGACAGGUGCCACUAACCAAGGAGCCGUCGCUAUUGGCAUACAUGGCACGCAACAACAGCUGCUGCCUACUUGGUUACUUCCUGGAAUUCUUUAGGCGAUAUCUAGGAGAGGGCUGUUCACCGAGUUUUACUUCGUCUUGCAAGCACAAAGCUGCCAUGUAAUCAGUUCAUGCUGUUUGAUUAACUUGUAGUCGCCCUUGUGCAGAAUGCCUCGUGCUUUCUAAUUAAUCCAAACGAUGAAAAAUUUCCCCGCAUCU